rnacentral:rRNA from 1 species
AUACGGAGGGUCCAAGCGUUAUCCGGAUUCAUUGGGUUUAAAGGGUCCGCAGGCGGGAAAAUAAGUCAGUGGUGAAAGCCUACAGCUCAACUGUAGAACCGCCAUUGAUACUGUUUUUCUUGAGUAUAGAUGAAGUGGGCGGAAUAUAUCAUGUAGCGGUGAAAUGCGUAGAUAUGAUAUAGAACACCGAUUGCGAAGGCAGCUCACUAAACUAUUUCUGACGCUCAGGGACGAAAGCGUGGGGAGCGAACAGGAUUAGAAACCCGAGUAGUCC